rnacentral:rRNA from 1 species
UACGUAGGUGGCAAGCGUUGUCCGGAAUUAUUGGGCGUAAAGCGCGCGCAGGUGGUUUCUUAAGUCUGAUGUGAAAGCCCACGGCUCAACCGUGGAGGGUCAUUGGAAACUGGGGAACUUGAGUGCAGGAGAGAAGAGUGGAAUUCCACGUGUAGCGGUGAAAUGCGUAGAGAUGUGGAGGAACACCAGAGGCGAAGGCGACUCUUUGGCCUGUAACUGACACUGAGGCGCGAAAGCGUGGGGAGCAAACAGG